CAAAAGCAAAGUGUUGCAAGAGCCUCACUAAGUCUGCCUGACACCUGCACAUACCAGCAAGGGAUGGUAUCUUUUACAAUUCAGACAUCAACAGCCAGCUUUAUAUUUCAUGAAGAUAAAUGAGAAUAUUCAUUUAAAAUGCUUUGAAAUUAUCAUCUCCUUGUCUGGGUGCAAGUCUCUACUCAGAGAAAAUUCAAGGUCUUCUGUUGCCCAGAUGCAAGUGACAAUAUGACAUGCAGGAGCCAUGGAGAACCAGGCGCCGCUUCUCCAUCUAGGUUCAUCCAUGACACCUGCGUUCCUGUGGGACAACACUCCAGAGGAAAACAGAAUACGGAGGAGGCUGCCUCUGCCAUGCAGAAUGGUUCACAAAGAAACCACCAAGUUUCCUGAGGAGAUUAACUACGUCUAGUGCCCCC